rnacentral:rRNA from 1 species
GAUGAACGCUGGCGGCGUGCUCAACACAUGCAACUCGAACGAGAGAAGAGCGGCUCUUGCACUAACCGGAUGGAGUCGCGGAAGGCUGCGUGACGCGUGGGUAACCUGCCUCCUACAGGGGACUAACCGUUGGAAACGGCUGCGAAAAUCGCAUACGCGCACAGUAUCGCAUGAUACAGUGUCAAAAACUCCGGUGAUAUGAGAUGGACCCGGGUCUGAUUAGCAUGUUGGCGAGGUAACGGCCCACCAAGGCAACGAUCAGUAGCAGGCCUGAGAGGGUGAACGGCCACAUUGGGACUGAGAGACGGCCCAAACUCCUACGGGAGGCAGCAGUGGGGAAUAGUGCACAAUGGGGGAAACCCUGAUGCAGCGACGCCGCGUGAGUGAUGAAGUAUUUCGGUAUGUAAAGCUCUAUCGGCAGGGAAGAUAAUGACGGUACCUGACUAAGAAGCACCGGCUAAAUACGUGCCAGCCGCCGCCGUAA